rnacentral:sRNA from 1 species
CAUGCAAAAGCUAGAGCAAAAGGAAUUCGAAUCUCCAGUACCUCGCAAGCCAGUAUCGCAAUAUAUAUCUCACGUUUGAGAAGGCCUGAGGGAGGCCUAAUGCUAUUGUCCGACUUUGGUGAAGCUAUAAUUGGCAAGGGGGCCUCAUGGUGGUGAUAUAAUGCCUUGGAAUACCGUACUCCUGAGACAUUGCUUUAUGAACUUCUCCAUUCAAAUCGACGCUUCACAGCCCGUGAUGGCGAUGGUGGCCUUUAUGAUGCUUCUUACCUUGCGCAGCGUAUUGCCUCGCCAGGACUACCACCCCUUGAAUUCCUAAAUAAAAAUCUGGAG